rnacentral:rRNA from 1 species
AAUCGAACUCGGAGAUAGCUGGUUCUCCCCGAAAUAGCUUUAGGGCUAGCCUCGAUUUAGAUUACCGGGGGUAGAGCACUGAAUGGGCUAGGGGGCCACAAAGCUUACCGAACCCUAUCAAACUUCGAAUACCGGAUAAUUGAUGAUCGGGAGUCAGACAGUGUGAGAUAAGUUUCAUUGUCGAAAGGGAAACAGCCCAGAUCUACGACUAAGGUCCCAAAGUUCAAGUUAAGUGGAAAAGGAUGUGCAAUUGCGUAGACAACCAGGAUGUUGGCUUAGUAGCAGCCAUUCAUUCAAAGAGUGCGUAAUAGCUCACUGGUCGAGUGAUUGUGCGCCGAAAAUGUAACGGGGCUAAACUUGACACCGAAGUCUAGGCAGAAGGAAACUUCUGGGUAGGGGAGCAACGUGUACGGGCAGAAGCAGAAGCGGAAGCGACUGUGGACUGUACAGGAGAGAGAAUGCCGGCAUGAGUAGCGAGAGCAAAGUGAGAAUCUUUGCCGUCGAAAGCCUAAGGUUUCCUGAGGAAGGCUCGUCCUCUCAGGGUAAGUCGGGACCUAAGCCGAGGACAAUAGUCGUAGGCGAUGGACAAUCGGUUAAUAUUCCGAUACCGCCGAGCAACCGGAUGCAGUGACACAGAAGGAUAGGCAGAGCGUGGCGAUGGUAGACCACGUCCAAGCAGUGAGGCUGUUGUGUAGUGAAGUACGCACAACGUAAGGCUGGGCUGUGAUGGGGAACGAUUACGAUCGGUAAGCUGCUGAAUUCACGCUGGCGAGAAAAGCUGCUACGAAGCGAAGGCGCCCGUACCGCAAACCGACACAGGUAGGCGAGGAGAGAAUCCUAAGACGAGCGGGAGAACCCUUGUUAAGGAACUCGGCAAAAUGACUCCGUAACUUAGGGAGAAGGAGUGCCCAGGAAUGGGCCGCAGAGAAUAGACCCAAGCGACUGUUUACCAAAAACACAGGUCUGUGCGAAGUAGAGAUACGACGUAUACGGGCUGACACCUGCCCAGUGCCGGAAGGUUAAGGGGAAAUGUUAGGGCAACCGAAGCAUGGAACUUAAGCCCCGGUGAACGGCGGCCGUAACUAUAACGGUCCUAAGGUAGCGAAAUUCCUUGUCGGGUAAGUUCCGACCCGCACGAAUGGUGUAACGAUUUGGGUACUGUCUCAACAAGGGACCCGGCGAAAUUGUAGUAUGUGUGAAGAUGCACAUUACCCGCGAUAGGACGGAAAGACCCCGUAGAGCUUUACUGUAGUUUAACAUUGGAUUCCGGUAACAUAUGCACAGGAUAGGUGGGAGGCGGAGAAGCAGUGAUUUCGGUUGCUGCAGAGCCGACGUUGGGAUACCACUCUUGUGUUACUGGGGUUCUAACCUGUGGCCGUGAUCCGGCACAGGAACAGUGUUAGAUGGGCAGUUUGACUGGGGCGGUCGCCUCCAAAAGAGUAACGGAGGCGUCCAAAGGUUCCCUCAGAAUGGUUGGAAACCAUUCGAAGAGUACAAAGGCAGAAGGGAGCCUGACUGCGAGACCGACAGGUCGAGCAGGGACGAAAGUCGGGCUUAGUGAUCCGGCGGUAUAGAGUGGAAUUGCCGUCGCUCAACGGAUAAAAGCUACCUCGGGGAUAACAGGCUUAUCUCCCCCAAGAGUCCACAUCGACGGGGAGGUUUGGCACCUCGAUGUCGGCUCGUCGCAUCCUGGGGCUGAAGCAGGUCCCAAGGGUUUGGCUGUUCGCCAAUUAAAGCGGCACGCGAGCUGGGUUCAGAACGUCGUGAGACAGUUCGGUCCCUAU